AUAUACAAAUGAUGAAAGGCCUUAAGAACAGUUCAAGUUACCAGGUUUAUCAUGACUGGAAUCUGUCGGUCUUCCAUCCUACCACUCUUUCAUCCUACCACUGAAAACACACAGCCCCAUCUUCUUCGUUUUCUUCUUCUUUCUGCUCACUUUGCUUGCUCUAUGAAUGUAUUCACCUACUCCUGUCUGAGAAGGGAGAAGAUUGGUUCAGUAGAGUGAGAGGAGAGAAGAUCAAAGCGACAGAAAGAGAGACAACCUGAAUGGAAGGGGAACCAGCGAUCGCCUACGGUGGGCCACAGCGUUGAUGUCCUCCCGUUCCUCCUUCUUCAGUCUGUUAAGAAACGUCGCUCCCUUCAAUUUCGAUUCCGGCGAACCGUCCAUCGGAAUCCAUGCUUGAUGCUUGACGUCUGAAAUUACAGCUCUGACCGGUAUGUUUCAGCAACUAGGGCUCGAAUUUUAAUUACUUUUGGCUAAAUCUUUACAAUUUGAGGUAUGGCGUUUAUGUUUUCAGAUUGCAUGUACAAAUUGACAUGCACUUUGGGUCUCACUUGGGUUGAUUGUAGAUUCCGCUGUUCUCUUUGCUUUUCAUCGAAGAUAAAUGACUUGGACCCAGUAAAAGAGAUUUCCAUGGAGUAGAGAGAGGGGACCAGAGAAUAGGUUAUAGAGAGACAAAAGAAAAAUAGAAAGAGAGCGUGAACUCGGUGACCAUCUUCGUCUUCUGCUCCCUGUUCCAGCUGCGAUGGGUCUGGUUGAUACCAAAGGUUAACGUUGACGAUGAACUCAACGGAAGAGACCAUGAUGUUAGCGAGGUUAUCAGUAGUGCCUAGGGUUCCAGGAGAACUCCGACGAGUCAGAUCUCCCGUUUUGGUGUAGCUUGGCAAACACUAAGGUGUACCGACAUUGUGUGGAUUAGGUCUUUAGCUGGUGGUUGAUGUUGGGUUUUUGUUGGUCGGCGAGUAAAGCAGCUAGAGGUGGUUCCAACAAGUGGGAUUGUGACAAUUGAUGGGUUUUUGCAGCUGUAACAUUACCGACAGCUGAGACGCCUGUCGGUGGCAGAAACGACUCCAACAGCCGCACAAUGGUCACGAGAGAGUAAAGAGAGAACCCUUUCGAUUUCAAUUUAGGAUCUUUUCUCCUCAAAAACUUCUGAUCUACCCUUCUCAAAGAAAUCAUCUUAUUCUUGAACAAGGCAAUAGUGAUAUAUUGGAGGAUUCUAAAAAUUAAGGCAAGCAAAGGAUUAUUAGUACGUGUAGCUCAUGACAAAAGAACUUACAUAUCAUUAGUUUGUGGUACAUUGACCCGUUACGCUAUAAAAAAAAAAAACUUAAAUUAGAAAUACUCCAGGUAACGACAAACCCAUUAUGUUUUUUUUUUUUUUUUAUUUAUAGCUACUUGGUUUAUGCCACAAUGAUGUUUGGUGUGGUUACUGUCACAUUAUUCACUUCAUCUUUUUCCUA